CUAUUAUUUUACUAACUUGAGAGCAUUUACGAUGGCAAAGUUUUCUUCAUCUUCUGUAUACGUGGUUGCCAUUAUUGUUCUUUUUUCAGGUUAUUACACUGGAGUAGAGUUUACUAAGUGUGCAGCAUAUGAUAUUGACCCUGUGACUCCCCACAAGAAACUUCAGCAAAUUAACUACUGUUUGUACAAGUCUCCA